rnacentral:rRNA from 1 species
UCGUAGUUGAAGUUCUGGCUGUAUUGGGCCUCUGCACUCGAUGCGGAGGAACCAGCAGUCAUCCGCUUGCAAAAUACAUGUCCUUCCUUAACCGGUAGGCUGUAUAAGUAAGCACUUUACCUUGAGAAAAACAGAGUGUUCCAGGCAGGUUUGUCCGGAAUGCGUUAGCAUGGAAUAAUAGAAUAUGACUGAAGUCGAUUUAUUGGUUAAAGGCUUUAGUAAUGAUUAAUAGGAACAAUCGGGGGCAUUGGUACUUGUCAGUCAGAGGUGAAAUUCUAGGAUUUGACAAAAGACUAACUGAUGCGAAAGCGUUUGCCAAGAAUGUUUUCAUUAAUCAAGAACGAAAGUUAGGGGAUCAAAAGACGAUCAGAUACCGUCCUAGUCUUAACUAUAAAACUAUACCGACUCGGAUUCAGAUGAAUUUUAAAGUUACAUUUGGGACCGUAGGAGAAAUCAAAGUCUUUGGGUUCU